CGUAGGGUGCAAGCGUUAAUCGGAAUUACUGGGCGUAAAGCGUGCGCAGGCGGUGAUGUAAGACAGGUGUGAAAUCCCCGGGCUUAACCUGGGAACUGCAUUUGUGACUGCAUCGCUGGAGUGCGGCAGAGGGGGAUGGAAUUCCGCGUGUAGCAGUGAAAUGCGUAGAUAUGCGGAGGAACACCGAUGGCGAAGGCAAUCCCCGGGGCCUGCACUGACGCUCAUGCACGAAAGCGUGGGGAGCAAACAGGAUUAGAUACCCUGGUAGUCCACGCCCUAAACGAUGUCAACUGGUUGUUGGUCCUUCACUGGAUCAGUAACGAAGCUAACGCGUGAAGUUGACCGCCUGGGGAGUACGGCCGCAAGGUUG
rnacentral:rRNA from 1 species